CGAGGAAACGGGUCGGCAGCGCGCACGAGGUCAGAGGUCAUCCUGCCCCGUCCGCGCCCCCGCUGCCCAGCUGGAAGAAGGUCGUUGCCGGUGCUGCCAGAGUUCAGAUGAGUAAGCGCGUAGACCAGUCCGUCCCCACAAGAGCCCCGCUCUCUCUCACUCGCGCCUUCUCUGCAUUUUUGCCGCCGGGGCCGACAGGCGGACAGGAGAAGACGCGGCUGAGGCAGUGGAGGCCGAGGAGAACCAGAACGAACCAGGCGCCGCCCGAGCAGGAGGACUGGGAGAAGGAGGUGUGGGUCGCCCCGCGCUACGAUGAUUUCAAGGAGCUCCACAACCACAGCUGCUCCCGUGAACCUUACAGCCCGGCUGCUCACCACAUGUCACCAGUGAAGUGGGAGCCUGUGCUGAAUCCAGGACAGACAAGGUCGCUGCUGGUGAUGGAGCGCUGGUAGGUGUGGGUGACCUCCUUCAGGCCGAAAACAAAGGAGAGAGGAAGGGAGAGGAGCGCACCAGCGGAUGCCUGUCCCACUUUCUGCCUCCCUCUGCUGGGCAUGGAAAGAGGGGGCUACCUACACACACACACACACACACACAGUGUCACAGCUACAGUCUAACACACCUCCUGCUUCAUUUCCCUCCACUGACACAAAUGCACCUCACAUUCAGAUGCACGUGGCUCCAAACUGCAACUCGUUCAUUCCUGACCCCGACUCCUGAUUAUAGUAGACCGGUGAGCAAUAGCGAAGGCAUCUGAAGCAUUUCAGCUUUCUGCACAACGAGUUCAUCAGCCACAACAUAAAAACCACUUUGACACCACUGACAGAUGGACUCCAUAGGACAUCUAAAGGUAUCUGCUGUGGUAUCAAGGUGUCAAUAGCAGGUACUUUACGUUGUGAGGUAGGACUUGUUUUUCCAGCAUGUCCCACAGAUGCCUGACUAGAUUGUUUGUUGAUGUUGCAUUCACCAGACCAUUCUACAAUUAUUUCUCUAAUGUGGCACAGGGCAUAAUUUGAUCACUUCACCCAGCCAACACGUUACAAUAUCACAGUUCAGCAACACGGAAGUUAGUGAGAUCCCAUAUAAUCUUUGGAUAGUUACAAUGAAAAAGUAUGAAUUAACUUUUAUGAAGGGGUUUAAAAACAAGGGUUGAGAAAGAAUUUGCUAGGUUGCACGAAAACAUUGCAAUAAUCUUUAAUUUCUGGUUCAACAUGGAACUUGAUCCCAUAAAAUCACUGUAAUUUGCAAGAACUCUGCAUGCCCCUCCAUACGUUUUCAUAUCAUAUCACCCAGAAAUGCUGCUAGUUUUGAACUGUGUUAUUAUUCCCAUUUCUGCCAGCGCUCCAUCAACUAUUUUUUUGACCAGAACAAGAAUCCUGGAAGUCCGUACAAGUGAAUUUCCUGUGUCGGUUUGGUGAGAGGAGGCGGCCAUUAUCAGCAGACACCACAGCAGAGUGAGGGGGAGGCUGGCGUGCCGCUGAAGAAGCUGUACCUCAGGGUCCUGGCACAAGAGGAGGACCGCCACCUCCCACUCACGCUCUUCCUGCCCUCGUUCCUCUACUCUGUCAGCAGACCCCCACGGAUCUUCGUGACCCUCGUUGUGUGAUAUGCUGCCUUAUUACCUUAUUGGUAUAGAUAUUUUGGAACCCAGAUAAUGGGGAUGCAGGUGACAGUGUGUUUCUUGGUGCCGGUCCCAAGUCCGGUUGCAUCAGGAAAGCCUUCCAGCAUAAAACUUUUGCCUCGUCGAUUAUGCAGAAGACCUGACAGGUUGAUCCUCUGUGGCGACCCCCCAACAGGAGCAGCCAAAGAAAGGAAAGUUACAGAUAUUUUGGCAAGUCCAGUGCUUCUGCUGGAUUUGAAGGGAUGUGUCCAUGGGAAAUAUAGAUGGACAACCGAGGAAAAUUGUAUGUUUUGAAUCUCUUCCACAAAACUGUUCUUAAAGAAAACAUUUUCUCAAAAAAUGUGACCUGUUCAUAAAGUCACAGUUUUUUGUGGAAUUGGAAGUGUCUGGUAGUCUGAGUGCCCACUACUGGUCUGGAGGACUGUCUUUAACUGUCUGCCCCAGGCUUUCAGUACAGAGUUCACAGCUAACAGAGGCGUGAUUCACUUCACAUCUUCUCAUCUUAUGGAUGCCACACUGUAGCAUCUCAUGUCCAGGGCUGUUUGAAGCCUAAGGGACCUGAAGGAACCUACAUGAAAUCAGGCCCAGCUCUGGAACUUGCUCUUUCAGGGACAUGAUCUUGACAUCUAGCAUAGUCAAAAAUGCUAAAAAGUCCCACACAGUGUGUCAUGUGUGACGUGAUAUGAUUUGUUGUUUGGCAGUAGAAUUUUUGCAGAAAAUAAACUUCAGCAUACCUGUUCCA
ensembl:lncRNA